CGGCGAACGGGUGAGUAACACGUGGAUAACCUACCUAUAAGACUGGGAUAACUUCGGGAAACCGGAGCUAAUACCGGAUAAUAUAUUGAACCGCAUGGUUCAAUAGUGAAAGACGGUUUUGCUGUCACUUAUAGAUGGAUCCGCGCCGCAUUAGCUAGUUGGUAAGGUAACGGCUUACCAAGGCAACGAUGCGUAGCCGACCUGAGAGGGUGAUAGGCCACACUGGAACUGAGACACGGUCCAGACUCCUACGGGAGGCAGCAGC
rnacentral:rRNA from 1 species